AACGAACCUUGGCGGCAUGCCUAACACAUGCAAGUCGAACGAGACCUUCGGGUCUAGUGGCGCACGGGUGCGUAACGCGUGGGAACCUGCCCUUAGGUUCGGAAUAACUCCCCGAAAGGGGCGCUAAUACCGGAUAAUGUCUUCGGACCAAAGAUUUAUCGCCUUUGGAUGGGCCCGCGUUGGAUUAGCUAGUUGGUAGGGUAAAAGCCUACCAAGGCGACGAUCCAUAGCUGGUCUGAGAGGAUGAUCAGCCACACUGGGACUGAGACACGGCCCAGACUCCUACGGGAGGCAGCAGUGGGGAAUAUUGGACAAUGGGCGAAAGCCUGAUCCAGCAAUGCCGCGUGAGUGAUGAAGGCCUUAGGGUUGUAAAGCUCUUUUACCCGGGAUGAUAAUGACAGUACCGGGAGAAUAAGCUCCGGCUAACUCCGUG
rnacentral:rRNA from 1 species